GGGAACGUACCCUUCGGUUCGGAAUAACUCAGGGAAACUUGAGCUAAUACCGGAUACGCCCUUUUGGGGAAAGGUUUACUGCCGAAGGAUCGGCCCGCGUCUGAUUAGCUUGUUGGUGGGGUAACGGUCUACCAAGGCGACGAUCAGUAGCUGGUCUGAGAGGAUGAUCAGCCACACUGGGACUGAGACACGGCCCAGACUCCUACGGGAGGCAGCAGUGGGGAAUAUUGGACAAUGGGCGCAAGCCUGAUCCAGCCAUGCCGCGUGAGUGAUGAAGGCCUUAGGGUUGUAAAGCUCUUUUGUCCGGGACGAUAAUGACGGUACCGGAAGAAUAAGCCCCGGCUAACUUCGUGCCAGCAGCCGCGGUAAUACGAAGGGGGCUAGCGUUGCUCGGAAUCACUGGGCGUAAAGGGCGCGUAGGCGGCCGAUUAAGUCGGGGGUGAAAGCCUGUGGCUCAACCACAGAAUUGCCUUCGAUACUGGUUGGCUUGAGACCGGAAGAGGACAGCGGAACUGCGAGU
rnacentral:rRNA from 1 species